GAGCUUUGAUCUGGAGGAUGCGGUCACAUUUUGCUUGGAGGUACGAAUUGUCUAGAAAAACCCAAAAAAGAAGAACACGCCCUUACAUAACUCCUCAAACUGAAUUUAAAAAAUUCCUGGGCCUCAGCCCAGAGCUACCGACUGAGAAAAUCUGGGAGCGAGUCUGGAAGCCGCCUCUUUACCAAUAUCUUCAGGUGGUGCCGAUGAAGCUACAUUGAAAACAUCACCGAGAUCAAGCGUAGGAAGCCAACCCCUCGCUCAGGACUUGAUACACAGGAAGAGCUUAAGAAAUGCCAACCUUCCUUCCUGCCCCCUCCACCUCUUUGCACUGGACCCGCGAAGAAAGAACAGAGGACGACCAAUUGCAUUUGAUGCAACAAUGACCAUUUCAUGUGACAACAAAAAAAAAUCAAGUGGUCCUAGACUCUUAAUCUUUUCAGGACAUCUCAUCACCUUCCAGCAUCUGAAAUCACCAUGUUUGCCUGCCACGUGUGGACUAGGGAGAAAGGACUAUUUCAGUUGUGCAGGCUAGUCCACCACCUUUCAUCCAAGAAAUCCGUGUCCCAAAGUGACUUUCUGACAGUUGGUAUUCAGUGCCUUACGGCAUUGUUGAGAAUGCUGAAGAAGCAGCCUAGGUUGUCCAUUCAAGAACGAGUCCCACAUCUGGAGUGCAGAACUGACUGCCGAAGAAAUAUGGGCUCUUCGAUGAAAAGGAAGCCAGUGGUUCCUGCCAUCCAGAAGCCAUCCUAUGCAGGAGGCCACCACUGCUCCCGCCGGCUCCAGAAGCAGCCCGUAUCUGCUGUAAUCCACACCAGCAAAGUGGAUGCCCUGACACCCGUGGAGCUAGAGACCCUAGCACUGCUACAAGGGAGCUAAAUGGCUCCACGGAUAAGCUUAGCCGUUGAGAGAGACGACAAAAGGACUACUUCUACCUUCUUCCACCUUCCCGAGCAUACACGCUUGCAUCUGCUGGGCUGAGGCUAAGUGACAUCAGUAACCCUAGUUGCACAGGAGUCUGGGAAAUGUAGUUUUUAGCUUUCUAGCCUCUACAACUCAAGUGGGCGUCCAAGAAGGAGAGUAGAAUUGUGUUGGGUGCCAAUGGUUGUUGGGAACCAAUCUACCACAUUAGGGCUGCCCCGCUGGCAGAGCUAGCUGCAGGAUGGUGAGUGGAGCUUCUGGGUAGAACAGGCAAUGCUCAGGUGAGGAGUAGGGUGUGGAGGUGGCUGAGAGCCAAACUCUCCCAUCCUCCGCCUUUCCCGAACCGUGAGCACACCUGCUGUGCAACCCCUCCCUGCCCCGGGAGGCAGCCUUCUUUGCACGUCCUGUGCUAGGUGGAGUGGGCAGCGCGGCAUGGUUCAAGGCACUGUGGGCAAAGGUUCUGGUUACCCUUUGCCACUGACAACGGGCAAUGAAGCACGCUUCUUCUUUAGUAAACAAGGGGACUGGCCGAGGCCUCUCGUCGCACUUAACAACCUCUAAAUUUAUAAGAAACAGACUCACUUGUGGUCACUUCAUUCCAGAGCUACAUUGGAGAAAUAACAUAUUUCUUUUCAAUAUCAACGUUGUCAAAACCACAGUAGCUGGGUUUGCGUGGUUUCUGGUAAAACAGUGGCUGUUAAAACUAUGUCAGUGCAAACGUGGACAUAAAUAGAUAAUAAAUCCUGAUAGGUCUAUA